rnacentral:RNase_P_RNA from 1 species
GGAGCCGGACGGGCUAGCGCUGCGCGUGUUUACAUGCGGGGAGGAAAGUCCGGGCUCCAUAGGGCAGAGCGCUGGGUAACGCCCAGGAAGAGAAAUCUUCGGCAAGUGCAACAGAAAGUAAACCGCCCUCGUAAGAGGGUAAGGGUGAAACGGUGGGGUAAGAGCCCACCGGUUGCCGUGGCAACACGGCAAGCCAGGUAAACCCCGUUCGGAGCAAAACCAAAUAGGAGAGCAUAUGGCCGGCCCGGUCUGCUCUCGGGUAGGUUGCUUGAGGCUGUGAGUAAUUGCAGCCCUAGAUGAAUGCUAGCCUCUCCCAAAAGGAUGACAAAACCCGGCUUAUAGUCCGGCUCCUAUU